rnacentral:rRNA from 1 species
GACGAACGCUGGCGGCGUGCCUAAUACAUGCAAGUCGAACGCAGUGGGGACGGGUGAGUAACACGUGGGUAACCUCCCAUCAGAGGGGAUAACACUUGGAAACAGGUGCUAAACCGAUACUGAUGGAUGGACCAGCGGGGCAUUAGCGAGUUGGUGAGGUAACGGCUCACCACGGCCACUAUGCAUAGCCGACCUGGGAGGGUGAGCGGCCAAAUUGGUACUGAGACACGGCCCAGACGCCUACGGGGGGCAGCAGGAGGGAAUCUUCGGUAAUGGACGAAAGUCUGACCGAGCAACGCCGCGUGAGUGAAGAAGGGUUUCGGAUCGUAAAACUCUGUUGUUAGAGAAGCGGUAUCUAACCAGAAAGCCACGGCUAACUACGUGCCAGCAGCCGCGGUAAUAC